CGGUGGAGCAUGUGGUUUAAUUCGACGAUACGCGAAGAACCUUACCUGGCCUUGACAUACUAAAAAGCUUUAAGAGAUUAGAGUGUGCUAGCUUGCUAGAAUUUAGAUACAGGUGCUGCACGGCUGUCGUCAGCUCGUGUCGUGAGAUGUUGGGUUAAGUCCCGCAACGAGCGCAACCCUCGUGUUUAGUUGCUAACAGUUCGGCUGAGAACUCUAAACAGACUGCCUACGCAAGUAGGAGGAAGGUAAGGACGACGUCAAGUCAUCAUGGCCCUUACGGCCAGGGCUACACACGUGCUACAAUGGGGUAUACAAAGAGCAGCGAUACGGUGACGCGGAGCAAAUCUAGAAAAUGCCUCUCAGUUCGGAUUGUAGUCUGCAACUCGACUACAUGAAGUUGGAAUCGCUAGUAAUCGUAGAUCAGCAAUGCUACGGUGAAUACGUUCCCGGGUCUU
rnacentral:rRNA from 1 species